rnacentral:rRNA from 1 species
CAGUAGCCGCGGUAAUACGUAGGUGGCAAGCGUUGUCCGGAAUUAUUGGGCGUAAAGCGCGCGCAGGCGGAUCAGUUAGUCUGUCUUAAGAGUUCGGGGCUUAACCCCGUGAGGGGAUGGAAACUGCUGAUCUAGAGUAUCGGAGAGGAAAGUGGAAUUCCUAGUGUAGCGGUGAAAUGCGUAGAUAUUAGGAAGAACACCAGUGGCGAAGGCGACUUUCUGGACGAAAGCUGACGCUGAGGCGCGAAAGCCAGGGGAGCGAACGGGAUUAGAUACCCGAGUAGUCCCUGUCUCUUAUACA